UAGGGUCACCAACUGUCCCAGUUUGCCUGAGACUGAGGAAUUUCCUGGCAUACAGAUGUUCCAUACCAGUGCCAGGACAGUUAGUUCCAGGCAAACUGGGACAGUUGGUCACCCAGGUGCCCA
rnacentral:pre_miRNA from 13 species